GACGAACGCUGGCGGCGUGCUUAACACAUGCAAGUCGAACGGAGUGGCGAACGGGUGAGUAACACGUGGGUGAUCUGCCUUGCACUUCGGGAUAAGCUUGGGAAACUGGGUCUAAUACCGGAUAGUGCAAGAUGAGCUCGCGGCCUAUCAGCUUGUUGGUGGGGUAAUGGCCUACCAAGGCGACGACGGGUAGCCGGCCUGAGAGGGUGUACGGCCACCUUGGGACUGAGAUACAGCCCAGUCGCCAACGGGAGGCAGCAGUGGCGAAUAUUGCACAAUGGGCGGGAGUCUGAGACAGCGACGCCGCGUGGGGGAUGUAGGCCUUCGGGUUGGAAACUCCUUGCGACAGGGACGCGGUACCUGUAUAAGAAGCACCGGCUAACUACGUGCCAGCAGCCGCGGUAAUUC
rnacentral:rRNA from 1 species